rnacentral:tRNA from 1 species
GAGGGUAUAGCUCAAGUGGUAGAGCACAUGCUUAGCAUGCAACAAGGUCGUGGGUUCAAUCCCCAGUACCUCCU